AUUGAACGCUGGCGGCAUGCCUUACACAUGCAAGUCGAACGGCAGCGGACCUUCGGGUGCCGGCGAGUGGCGAACGGGUGAGUAAUAUAUCGGAACGUACCUUUCAGUGGGGGAUAACGUAGCGAAAGUUACGCUAAUACCGCAUAUUCUGUGAGCAGGAAAGCAGGGGAUCGCAAGACCUUGCACUGAUUGAGCGGCCGAUAUCAGAUUAGCUAGUUGGUGAGGUAAAGGCUCACCAAGGCGACGAUCUGUAGCGGGUCUGAGAGGAUGAUCCGCCACACUGGAACUGAGACACGGUCCAGACUCCUACGGGAGGCAGCAGUGGGGAAUUUUGGACAAUGGCGCAAGCCUGAUCCAGCCAUGCCGCGUGAGUGAAGAAGG
rnacentral:rRNA from 1 species